AUCGAUGAAGAACGCAGCGAAAUGCGAUAAGUAAUAUGAAUUGCAGAUAUUCGUGAAUCAUGGAAUCUUUGAACCCCCAUUGCGCCCUGUGGUAUUCCGCAGGGCAUGCCUGUUUGAGCGUCAUUUUUUUCUCAAACCCUUGGGUUUGGUAUUGAGUGAUAUUUUUAGUCAGAUUAAGCGUUUGCUUGAAAUGUAUCGGGGUGGUGGUGGAGCAGCUACCGACGAAUUACAAUUAUUAGGUUCUACCAAGUCGUUGUUCUUCAGGGGAAAACUUCCCCCAGGCUUCGCCUAACAAAUCACCAAACAAGUUGACCUCAAAUCAGGUCGAU
rnacentral:rRNA from 1 species